GUGCCAGCCGCCGCGGUAAUACGGAAGGUUCGAGCGUUAUCCGGAUUUAUUGGGUUUAAAGGGAGCGCAGGCGGAAGUGUUAAGUCAGCUGUGAAAUCCCGUCGCUCAACGGCGGAACUGCAGUUGAUACUGGCUUUCUUGAGUGCACAUAAGGAUGGUGGAAUUCGUGGUGUAGCGGUGAAAUGCUUAGAUAUCACGAAGAACUCCGAUUGCGAAGGCAGCCAUCUGGGGUGCAACUGACGCUGAGGCUCGAAAGUGCGGGUAUCAAACAGGAUUAGAUACCCUGGUAGUCCGCACAGUAAACGAUGAAUACUCGCUGUCGGCGAUACACGGUCGGCGGCCAAGCGAGAGCAUUAAGUAUUCCACCUGGGGAGUACGCCGGCAACGGUGAAACUCAAAGGAAUUGACGGGGGCCCGCACAAGCGGAGGAACAUGUGGUUUAAUUCGAUGAUACGCGAGGAACCUUACCCGGGCUUGAACUGCACCCGACGGACGGAGAGAUCCGUCUUCCGCAAGGCGGGUGUGGAGGUGCUGCAUGGUUGUCGUCAGCUCGUGCCGUGAGGUGUCGGCUUAAGUGCCAUAACGAGCGCAACCCUUCUCUUCAGUUGCCAUCAGGUAAUGCUGGGCACUCUGGAGACACUGCCAUCGUAAGAUGCGAGGAAGGUGGGGAUGACGUCAAAUCAGCACGGCCCUUACGUCCGGGGCUACACACGUGUUACAAUGGGAGGUACAGAAGGCCGCGACCCGGCGACGGGAAGCCAAUCCCCAAAUCCUCUCUCAGUUCGGACUGGAGUCUGCAACCCGACUCCACGAAGCUGGAUUCGCUAGUAAUCGCGCAUCAGCCAUGGCGCGGUGAAUACGUUCCCGGGCCUUGUACACACCGCCCGU
rnacentral:rRNA from 1 species